CCUACGGGAGGCAGCAGUGGGGGAUAUUGGACAAUGGGGGCAACCCUGAUCCAGCGACGCCGCGUGAGUGAAGAAGUCUUUCGGGAUGUAAAGCUCUUUCAGCAGGGAAGAAGGAAAUGACGGUACCUGACCAAGAGACCCAGGCUAACUACGGGCCAGCAGCCGCGGUAAUACGUAGGGGGCAAGCGGUAUCCGGAAUUACUGUGUGUAACGGGAGCGUAGACGGUUAAGUAAGUCUGGAGUGAAAGGCCGGGGCUCAACCCCGGGACUGCUCUGGAAACUAUUGAACUUGAGUGCAGGAGAGGUAAGCGGAAUUCCUAGUGUAGCGGUGAAAUGCGUAGAUAUUAGGAGGAACACCAGUGGCGAAGGCGGCUCACUGGACUGUAACUGACGUUGAGGCUCGAAAGCGUGGGGAGCAAACAGGAUUAGAUACCCGGGUAGUC
rnacentral:rRNA from 1 species